GACGAACGCUGGCGGCGUGCCUAAUACAUGCAAGUAGAACGCACAGUUUAUACCGUAGCUUGCUACACCAUAGACUGUGAGUUGCGAACGGGUGAGUAACGCGUAGGUAACCUGCCUGGUAGCGGGGGAUAACUAUUGGAAACGAUAGCUAAUACCGCAUAAUAUUGAUUAUUGCAUGAUAAUUAAUUUAAAGGUGCAAUUGCACCACUACCAGAUGGACCUGCGUUGUAUUAGCUAGUAGGUGAGGUAACGGCUCACCUAGGCGACGAUACAUAGCCGACCUGAGAGGGUGAUCGGCCACACUGGGACUGAGACACGGCCCAGACUCCUACGGGAGGCAGCAGUAGGGAAUCUUCGGCAAUGGACGAAAGUCUGACCGAGCAACGCCGCGUGAGUGAAGAAGGUUUUCGGAUCGUAAAGCUCUGUUGUAAGAGAAGAACGGGUGUGAGAGUGGAAAGUUCACACUGUGACGGUAUCUUACCAGAAAGGGACGGCUAACUACGUG
rnacentral:rRNA from 1 species